ACACCGGCAGCUCAAGCGGUAGCCGCUUUUAUUGGGCCUAAAGCGUCCGUAGCCGGUCUGAUAAGUCUCUGGUGAAAUCCCACAGCUUAACUGUGGGAAUUGCUGGAGAUACUAUCAUGACUCGAGGUCGGGAGAGGCUGGAGGUACUCCCAGGGUCGGGGGGAAAUUCUGUAAUCCUGGGAGGACCACCUGUGGCGAAGGCGUCCAGCUGGAACGAACCUGACGGUGAGGGACGAAAGCCAGGGGCGCGAACCGGAUUAGAUACCCGGGUAGUCCUGGCCGUAAACGAUGUGGACUUGGUGUUGGGAUGGCUUCGAGCUGCCCCAGUGCCGAAGGGAAGCUGUUAAGUCCACCGCCUGGGAAGUACGGCCGCAAGGCUGAAACUCAAAGGAAUUGGCGGGG
rnacentral:rRNA from 1 species